AGUCUCUUCAGGAGGGUUCCUGAGGCGCCUGAGGCAGUGGAGAGACCGUGUCGAAAGGUGAUUGUAGUUUGUUAGUCAUGGCCCUUCAUCAGUAAAGUAAGCAUCUCCGUCCUAAGUGCUCGGCCAACACCUAAAUGCCGUGGCCGCCAUUGUCUCUGCUCCCCGCUCCUGACUGCCGCUUGCGUUUGCCUGCCUCCCUUUCUUAAGGCAGGACACCUCUGGAGACACGCAAAACAGCCUCCGAGUCAAGCAGAACAGGGUCCACCCGAUUGACUGCAGGGCCCAUCGCCAGGGGAAGCAAAGAAGAAAGAAAAUUACUUCACAUCAGUGCAGAUCUCCCCUAGCCUUUAAUACCAGCUGUGAGUACUUCUCUCAUUGGAGCUCUUCACAGUGCAAUCGGACCAAAUCCUUUGGAAACAUUCUAUUUCUCAAAUGCCCUGUGGAGCACACACUUAAUCAGUUGAUGGCCUGAGAAUUUUCCAGUAUCAGCUAAGGAGAAGGAGUUUCUCUGUGUAACUUUGGAGCAUGUCCUGGAACUCACUCUGUAGACUGCCUCCUGAGCUCUGGGAUUAAAGGCGCUUUUGAUUGGAGACAGAACUUUCAGCUAGGAGAUACUGUUCCAAAAGCAGGUCUUAUACAAGAUGCACAAUUGCUGUGAGUUCAUAUGUGCAAGAUCAAGCCAGACAAAAUCCAAGCAUGGAAAGGGGAAGUGGGCCUGGAGCCCCAUCACUAGCUGAAGAGUUGUUGGUAAUUGAUAACUUCUGGGAGAGGAAGAGUUUCCUUUAGUGGUGUGGUACCUGGUACAUCACCACCCUCUGUUGGAUGGCUAUAAACCCAAGAAUAUAUAGGCAGCAGAAAUUGGACUUCACAUGUUUUUAAAAAAUGGGGACAUAAAAUUCGGUGGGUAUGGAAUUGGGAGGGGGUAGAUCUGGGAGGAGUUAGGAGGGGUGAAUAUGAUUAAAAUGUAAUAUAUGAAAUUCUCAAAAAGAUAACAUUAAAGAAAAAUGGCAUUUA